GGAGAGUUUGAUCAUGGCUCAGAUUGAACGUUGGCGGCAGGCCUCAUACAUGCAAGUCGAACGAGAAAGCCCCUUCGGGGGUGAGUACAGUGGCGGACGGGUGAGUAACGCGUAGGAAUCUGCCCGAUAGUGGGGGACAACCCGAGGAAACUCGGAUUAAUACCGCAUACGAUCUACGGAUGAAAGCGGGGGAUCUCAACGCGCCGGCGCAAGCCGGUGCGCGACCUCGCGCUAUCGGAGGAGCCUGCGUUGGAUUAGCUUGUUGGUGAGGUAAUGGCUCACCAAGGCUACGAUCCAUAGCUGGUCUGAGAGGACGAUCAGCCACACUGGAACUGAGACACGGUCCAGACUCCUACGGGAGGCAGCAGUAGGGAAUAUUGUGCAAUGGGCGAAAGCCUGACACAGCCAUGCCGCGUGUGUGAAGAAGGCCCUAGGGUUGUAAAGCACUUUCAGUGGCGAAGAAAAACUCCAUGCUAAUACCAUGGGGUCUUGACGUUAACCACAGAAGAAGUACCGGCUAACUCCGUGCCAGCAGCCGCGGUAAUACGGAGGGUACGAACGUUAAUCGGAAUUACUGGGCGUAAAGCGCGCGUAGGCGGUUCGCUAAGUGAGGUGUGAAAUCCCCGGGCUCAACCUGGGAACUGCACUUCAAACUGGCGGACUAGAGUGUAGUAGAGGGAGGCGGAAUUUCCUGUGUAGCGGUGAAAUGCGUAGAUAUAGGAAGGAACACCAGUGGCGAAGGCGGCUUCCUGGACUAACACUGACGCUGAGGCGCGAAAGCGUGGGGAGCAAACAGGAUUAGAUACCCUGG
rnacentral:rRNA from 1 species